AAAUUUAUCAGUCUAUACACUAAAAUUGGAACAAUACAGAGAAGAUUAGUAUGACUGCUGUGCAAGGGAUGAUACAAAAUUUAGUGAAGCAUUAUAUAUUUUU